UACAGAGGGGGCAAGCGUUGUUCGGAAUUACUGGGCGUAAAGGGCGCGUAGGCGGCCUGCUAAGUCGAACGUGAAAUCCCUGGGCUCAACCCAGGAACUGCGUCCGAUACUGGUUGGCUUGAAUCCGGGAGAGGGAUGUGGAAUUCCAGGUGUAGCGGUGGAAUGCGUAGAUAUCUGGAAGAACACCGGUGGCGAAGGCGGUGGUCUGGGCCGUUACUGACGCUGAGGAGCGAAAGCCAGGGGAGCGAACGGG
rnacentral:rRNA from 1 species